rnacentral:tRNA from 1 species
GCCGAAGUGGUGGAAUUGGUAGACACGCACGCUUGAGGGGCGUGUGGGGCAACCCGUGGGAGUUCAAAUCUCCCCUUCGGCA